rnacentral:lncRNA from 1 species
GCAGUCUCUGGAGAAGGCAGGCAGACAGCUUGGCCUCUGUUUCCAGUGAGACAGAUAGAUACACCCUGUCACUCUCUAUUAACCUGAACUUUCACCCUGUGGGAAAUGGCUGUUUCUUUUGCUCAAAGCCCACUCAUCAGAACUAUCUGGGGAAUGUGUUCAAAGUGCAGAUCCCAAGAAAUGAAGUUCUGAUGCAUGCUGCAGCAUGGAUGAACCCUGUGCCCGGAGCUGGGGAAAUGGCCCGCUGUGUAAGUGCUUGCUGGACAUGAGUGAGGACCUCAGAUCCCCAGAAUUCCUGUAAAAAGCCAGUGCACAGCUGUCAUCCCAGUGCUGCAGAGGCAGGAGCGCCACAGAGGGCUUUCUGAACAGCCAGUCUAAGCGAAUUGGUAAGCCCCAGGUUCAGUGAAAGACCCUGUCUCAAAAAUAAAAUGGAAAGUGAAGAAGACACCCAGUGUCAACCUCUGACCUCCACACACUUGUACACAAAUGUACCUAACACAUAUACCACACAUUCACAAACAUGGAAAUAACAUGUGCUGAGGGCAGGAGACCUAACAGCAAGCAUUCUACAUGGGCAAUAUCCAGAGUAGGCAAAUCAGAGGGGAGAAACAAAAGGACCCCCAGCGGUGUACACUUUGAAACAGUGGUUUGUGGUAUGAUGCUUGUGAAAGUACAAAUUCCCAUCUUACUCCACAGGCUUCGGGGGCUUGAGUUCUGACGUACACUCAGUUUUGAGUGACGUUUUUAUGCAGUAACACAUCAUACUUGAUGCCCAGAGCACCUCUGGAACAAAAUUUGUCUCGCACUGUCAUUGUGAAGGUAGCACCUUGAGGUUGGAUCAUUCCCCGAGUGUCGCUGUGUCUCCCCAGAUGUCCCUCUUUAUAUACAAGAGUAGUUGCUGUUUGAAAGCACUGUUCUCUUAUCUCACUUAAUCCUCACAGCAGUGUGCAGCGAGUCUAUAACUGUCAGUUAUCCCCGUUUGACUUGUAUGAAAAUGAGCUCAGAGAGCAUCACUUUUCUAGGGCCACAGAGCAGCAGGCAUUGAGUGUUACGAUAAAUCUUUCUGCCAAAAGCUGCCUGAGCCCCACCGCCACGUGUGUGCUUUACGCCAGCCACCUGCCCGAGUUAGGCCCAAAUGAAUACACAGAAACUUGUAUUAGGUUCAAAGCUGCUUGGCCAAUGACUAGGACUUCUCAUCUGUUAGCUCAGUCUUAAUUAUAUGUUAUAAGACUUAUCGGACGCCUUAAUGGCGUCCCUCCUUGUUGGUGGAUCACAUUGUGCCACAGGAGCAGAGGGGAAAGAGGGCCCGUCCUGUUUCUCCUUCGCUUAAAUAUGAGUCUCCUUGCUAUGUCACUUCCUGCCUGGAUCAGCACUUCUCUACUACAUUUCCCAGAAUCCUCUUUGACUCCUAGUCCCGUCUAUUUGCUGUCUCAUUGGCCAAAGUAUUUUAUUUAACAAUUAAAAAGAUAAACCUACACAGAAGUACUUCCCCCAUCAUCUCCUCUUUUCUGUCUAAAUAAAAAGGAUAACUUAUCUUUUAUAAUAACUGAAGAAAACUAUAACCAUAACUAUCUGUCUUCAACUCUAUCAAAGACCACAGAAGGAUAAUAUAUAAACUCUAGAAUUAACAGAGACAUCUCACUACCUGGACAGUCACUCAAAGUUUCUCUGUAACAUUGGGGCAUCCAUCUUCGAUGCCCAUCCUCCUUUCUGACGUAAUUGGUGUGCCAGGAGCAGUUGUGUCUCACUGCCAAGAAAAAUCCGAAACCAUUUAAUUGCCAUAUUUCUGUAGGUCUUUGAAAGGUUUGAAGAAUAUCUAACCAUCUCAAAUAUAUCUCUAUAUGUCUAGAAAACCUAACUAAUCUAAUUAUAAGUUCUGACUAUUAAUAGGUAAAAGAUCUGUAUAAACACAAUACCUAAACAAGAGGAAACAUAUACAUAUCACAAAAUUGACCUUAAAGUUGUAUCAAUAAAUGAAAAUCUAUACCAUUGCAAAGUAUUCAUUCCUAUAUCCUAUUCCCCUUUUCUUUCUUUAAAAAGAGAUUGACUAUGCUCAUUAUCAUUUAUAACUAACCCCAUUUAAAUGAAAACAAACAUUUAUAAACAAUAUUUUGGGAUAUGGGUGUCGUUCUUUCUAAACUGCUUCCUGCUGAUUGGGGGCAAUGUUCAUACCAUGGGGAUCAUGAUAAAACAUAGAAACCUGACCAAGUCCUUGUUUUUGUAGUCUGUAAGGCUGUAUCGUCUCAGCUUCAGGGGGUCUUGCUUGAUCAAACCAUAUUAGUCUGGAAGGAAUCCACAGCUUUUGAUUUUCUGUGGAAAUACAAGCAAAACCUUUCUUUCGAAGUAGCCUGUCCUUAAACGCAAAUCCUGAAGUUAGAGCAUUUUUAAAAUGUAUAACUUGGAUUAAUUUAGCAGCAUUUAUAAUCAAAUGUAUUUUAGCAGCAGUAAUUCUUUCCUCGGCAAUCAACAAUUUAAAGACAACAAUAUGGCAUAUAGUAUCCAGAUUCUCUGUGUAUUUUCCAUCUCUAGGUGGCUUUUUUACUAUUCUACUUUUACUUCCUUUUGUUUCUUUUUUCCCGAGACAGAGUUUCUCUGUGGAAAUCCGCCUGCCUCUGCUUCCUUUAGCAAAUCCUACCGGCGUUGGCCACCACAACCGGCUACUCUAUUUCCUCCUGUUACUUUUUCUCUCACAAGCCUACAUAUAUUUUUAAAUGUAGUGUAAACCUUUAGAGGUUUUUUUUUUUUUUUCAUCUGGAUCUGUCUUUAUCAUAUCGGGAGUGCCGAGUCCAAUGCCCAAGAGCGCCAGGACGGCGCGAGCAUAUGGAAGCUGCUCCAAUGCCUCUCCGCGGCCCGACAGGGCAGGCUGUGGCGGCAGGUUUUUCUCUUUCUCUGGAAACCCUGGGGCAUGGGGUCAUCCCGCUCCCUGACACCAUUAUUGAGGACAACAGUCAAGCCUGUGCUCACUGGUAUCUGCACGGCUCUGAUUUACCCUCACUGCCCUUUUUGUCUAGGGCAGCCUUCCCUCUACCCCUGUCCCCGGGUCCAGGCCUUGGCUUUCUGACUAGCAGCUAUGUGACCUUGGACAAACUGGUUUGGGGGCCUAAGUCUCCUUAUAUAGAAGAGAGUUAGUUGGAUUUAGGAGUUCUGAUACAAAAUUUUCAGGAUCCUCCAAGUAUUAAAAGUUGCUUGGUCUUGUGUUGUUUUACAAGUUGGGAAGGGAAAUUACAUUCAUACAAGGCAGUAUGUCUGCGGCAUGAAACAACAGGUCUCUUGUUUGAAGCAGAAAUGAUAGAAUGUUGGGUCUUUGCAUGUCCCAGUUGACAAUCCUGUGUGUGUGUGUGUGUGUGUGUGUGUGUGUUUACAUGUGUAUGGAGGUCAGAGAACAACCCUGAUUGAUUUUCUUCAGCCAUCCUGUUUGAUGAACAAAGAAUCUGAAAACAAGCUAAUUAUUAUUUAAUGCUUGUAUUUAUGAAAGAGAAGCCGUUGAAGUAGAGUCACCAUGGCUGGUCUCAGAGCUCUUUUUCAGUUUCAACACAUCCAGAAGUAAAGCUAUUAGCAAGACCUGGCCUGGUUUUCCAAUCUCAAAUGCAGGCCUCCUGGUGUCUGGCUCGUAUUUGCAAGGCGAGGUUAGCCUAUUAACAAAAUCAGCAGCAGCAAACACUUGCCAACCCCUCCUGCCAGCCCGGUGACAAGCCCUUCUUUCUCGGAGCCUAGAUCUAACCGCUUACCAUUUGAGUAGUGGAACAGUUCCC